rnacentral:rRNA from 1 species
AGAAUCAACGCUGGCGGCGUGCCUAACACAUGCAAGUCGCACGAGAAAGGGGAGCAAUCCCUGAGUACAGUGGCGCACGGGUGAGUAACACGUGAAUUAUCUACCUCCGAGUGGGGAAUAACUGAGAGAAAUCUUAGCUAAUACCGCAUAAUACCCACGGGUCAAAGCAGCAAUGCGCUUGGAGAGGAGUUCGCGGCCGAUUAGCUAGUUGGCGGGGUAAUGGCCCACCAAGGCGAUGAUCGGUA